GUCCGUUUGCCCGAGUGGUCUAAGGGGUCACGUUCAGGUCGUGAUGUAUUCGUACGCGUGGGUUCAAAUCCCACAGCGGACA
rfam:Aphanomyces invadans strain NJM9701 unplaced genomic scaffold supercont1.55, whole genome shotgun sequence.